rnacentral:rRNA from 1 species
ACCAUCCUAAGGUAGCGAAAUUCCUUGUCGGGUAAGUUCCGACCUGCACGAAUGGCGUAACGACUUCUCCGCUGUCUCGACCACGAGCUCGGUGAAAUUGCAGUACGAGUAAAGAUGCUCGUUUCGCGCAGCAGGACGGAAAGACCCCGGGACCUUUACUAUAGCUUGGUAUUGGUGUUCGGUACGGCUUGUGUAGGAUAGGUGGGAGACUGUGAACCGGUCACGCUAGUGGGCGGGGAGUCGUUGGUGAAAUACCACUCUGGCCGUGCUGACCAUCUAACCUCGGUCCGUGAUCCGGGCCAGGGACAGUGCCUGGUGGGUAGUUUAACUGGGGCGGUUGCCUCCUAAAGGGUAACGGAGGCGCUCAAAGGUUCCCUCAGCCUGGUCGGCAACCAGGUGGCGAGUGCAAGUGCACAAGGGAGCUUGACUGCGAGACCGACGGGUCGAGCAGGUGCGAAAGCAGGAACUAGUGAUCCGGCGAUCCCGUGUGGAUGGGUCGUCGCUCAACGGAUAAAAGGUACCCCGGGGAUAACAGGCUGAUCCUGCCCAAGAGUCCAUAUCGACGGCAUGGUUUGGCACCUCGAUGUCGGCUCGUCGCAUCCUGGGGCUGGAGUAGGUCCCAAGGGUUGGGCUGUUCGCCCAUUAAAGCGGUACGCGAGCUGGGUUCAGAACGUCGUGAGACAGUUCGGUCCCUAUCCGCUGCGCGCGUAGGAGAAUUGAGAAGGGCUGUCCCUAGUACGAGAGGACCGGGACGGACGAACCUCUGGUGUGCCAGUUGUUCCGCCAGGAGCAUGGCUGGUUGGCUACGUUCGGGAGGGAUAACCGCUGAAAGCAUCUAAGCGGGAAGCCUGCUUCAAGAUAAGUUCUCCAUCCAGCCUGUGUGCUGGGUGAGGUCCCCCGCAGACGACGGGGUUGAUAGGCCGGACGUGGACGCCUCGUAAGGGGUGGAGCUGACCGGUACUAAUGGACCGACCGCCUACACCAU